UACGAAGGGUCCAAGCGUUAUCCGGAUUUAUUGGGUUUAAAGGGUGCGUAGGCGGCUUAUUAAGUCAGUGGUGAAAGACUUCAGCUUAACUGAAGAACUGCCAUUGAUACUGAUGAGCUUGAAUGUAGUUGAGGUGGGCGGAAUGUGUCAUGUAGCGGUGAAAUGCUUAGAUAUGACACAGAACACCGAUUGCGAAGGCAGCUUACUACCCGAAUAUUGACACUGAGGCACGAAAGCGUGGGGAUCAAACAGG
rnacentral:rRNA from 1 species